rnacentral:misc_RNA from 1 species
CGGACAACGCUACCAGUAGGCCAUGUCGGCCAAGGCGACGUGACACGAGAGAAGCGAUGCAGACAACAACGGAGCGUCUCUCUUUCAUCGUGUUCACUCGUUUGGCCGCCCAACUCGUCUCCUUGCGCUUGGAUGGCGUGGAAGCACCGCUGAUUGCACUCCCGCACGACAGAGAGAGAGAGGGCUUGCGCAAGAGACUAUGUUGGCUGCCGACGUUUCUUUCUGUGGUCCAUGUAUACAAGAUUCUCGUACUAACCCAAGGGGAUCACACACUCACACAUCCUUCGCCUUGGCGCCCUAACGCUCGAUCAAUCCUCUUUUUUUGGCCCCUUUUCUUUUACCUCCUUCUUUUCGUCUAUCCCGCCGCUCACGUGAGGAGGCUACCUUGCGUAUUUGGCGCCGGAGGGCUGCGCCCGCCGGAUGACGGUGCCGUUACAGCGCUUCGCCAGCAUCAACUCGGGCAUGCAGGCAUCGGCCCCCUUCGGAGCACCGCACUCACACCCUCCCCCCUCCUCAUGCGCGGCGGUCGCGUGCGCUUCAACGCAUCAGUGGCUGGCGGGCUGUGGGCGGAUGGUGCGGCACAGGCAGACAUGGGGCCAGGAGCGGCGGCGGUGCGCCAUGCUACUAAUACACUGACGGGCACAGCGGCAAGAGGCACUUGGCGGCCGCUGCCCCACACGCGGAGAACAAGGCUGCUGAACUCAUGAGGCACACCUGGUUUCGCGCUAUGAUCUUGCACGCAGUAACCUGGCCACGCACAUCCCGCUCGCGCUGCAUGGGCUUCCCCCGCCGGGUGCCUACCGCUGCCCCCUGUGCUCCGUCGGAGCGACGUGCUGUGAGCUCUUUGUGCGCCGGCACAUGCUCACCGGCGGCCCUCUCCCCCGGCCACGACGCCGCGCUGAGGCGGGCCCCACAGCGCAGAACUGCGAGCGCGGUGCGCGGGCGCUGUGACGCACAGCCGGCACGCAGCGUACCGCACGCAGACAGUGCAUGGGGAGGCCGGAGGAGCAAGAGCGGUGGACGGGAACGGCGCGAAGCAUGCGGCACGCCCUCGAUGUGCCUGUGUGGGCUGAUGAGGCGCGGAUGCCGGAAGCGUGGCGAGGGCAUCCCGAGUUGCACCGUCGAGCCCUCCAGGCCCGAAUGUGGCGAGCCUGCGGGGAGCAGAUUAUGGGAUGCGGCUGCUCGAAGCGACCGAGGGCGCUGACCGGAAGGUGGCCGACUUCCUCCUCGGGCCUGUGCGGCAUGCGCCCUCGAUCGGGAGCCCGAAUGGUGGCCGCGUGGGUGAAGGCGUGCCGCCCACCCGCGUCUCCGUGUGGCGCCGCUGGGGGCAGGUGCGCUGUGGCUGUGUAUGUGCGCUGAUGUGCUGACUUGUUCGUGGUGGGCUAUGGGCACGGUGAGGGGCGACGUUGGCCCUUGCUGACUUCCUCCGCUCUUCUCUGACUUGUCCCUUGCGUGCCCCUCUGAGGUGGGUGAUGCUGUGUCUCCGUUGGGCGCUCUUUUUCAUCGGUGCCUGCGGGCGAGUCAUGUGGACGGCCGACAGUGAGGCCCCUCGAAAGGAUUUGUAGCUGCUGCCUCCCUAGCGAGGAAAUCAAGGCGAAAAAGAGAGGGGCGAAAGCCCCAGGCUCAAAAACAUGCAGGCGCCUGCAGCAGGAGUGAAGAAGGAGAGGAAGUACCGAUACUGCCCGUAAAGGGAAGGGUGCUGAGGGCCCGUGGGAGCGCGGCAGCGCUCGUUGUGUGUGUGUGUGCGUGCGUGCGUAUGCUUUGAGGGGAUGCGUGUGCAGGGCACGGCCAAUGCCCCAUUGCAAGCCCUCUGUGUGUGUAUCUGUCGGUGAAAGCGGAGGCGCUGCAGAGGGUCCUGUAAUCGACCUCAGAAGAAGCGGCUGCGGGUCCACUGUGGACGCUGCGAAAAGGCUUCCUGUCUGUGCAUUCUCUCUCUACUCCACCCCCACGCAUAUGCUCGCUACAUGGAUGGACUUGCACGCUGCACCCUUCCUGCUCCUGCUCGUGUCACAUUUGGCAUUCUUUCUUCUUCCACACACAAAUUUUGGAUCCUUCUUUUCGGUUCUGGUGCCGUUCAUCAUGCCGACAUCAUCACCCUCGUGCUUUCCUGCGUGCGUGUGUGCGCUGCAUCUUGCCUGCGCCUGGAG